rnacentral:miRNA from 1 species
AUGUGAUAGAUAUAUGCAUGCCAUAUAUGUAUAUGUAUAUGUGUAUAUGUGUGUGUACACACACACACA